GAAGAGGAGAGCGGAAUUCCACGUGUAGCGGUGAAAUUCGUAGAUAUGUGGAGGAACACCAGUGGCGAAGGCGGCUCUCUGGUCUGUUACUGACGCUGAGGUGCGAAAGCGUGGGGAGCGAACAGGAUUAGAUACCCUGGUAGUCCACGCCGUAAACGAUGAGUGCUAGGUGUUAGGGGUUUCCACCCUUAGUGCUGCAGUUAACGCAAUAAGCACUCCGCCUGGGGAGUACGGCCGCAAGGCUGAAACUCAAAGGAAUUGACGGGUGCCCGCACAAGCGGUGGAGCAUGUGGUUUAAUU
rnacentral:rRNA from 1 species